ACAGAUUUUUUCAGCCGCCUGCAUUAUCUUCUACGCGCUACCACCCAGCCUCUGUCCUCGUCGCGAUGCCCAGUCCCCAGCUCGGCGUCCUCCUCUUCCGCGGCCUCCCACUCCUCCAGUCCGAGCUCCCUUCUCUUCUUCCCAUGGCGGCUGUCGUCGAGUUCCCUGCGCAAGCGUCGCACGCAGCCGUGUCUUCAAGCCCGGGUCUUCUUCCUCCCUUUUCUAUGGACGCUGCCCCUCUCUGGUUUCUGGUGGCCGGCCACCUCUGCUGCUCCCAUGUAAAAUCCCUGGAGAAAUUGGUGGAGAAGAAGGUUAAGUUCAACGCUCCUUAGGUGUUCGAUGAUAUGCAAGAACUGGUGGCCGUCUUCGCUCUUGCUGAAAUCGAGUCGGGGCAUGAUGUGGUACGCUAGAUGAUUAUGUGAAUUGGAGGGCAUGGAUCAGGAUGGAUCACAAGGUGGCUUUGAUGAACCCAUCUCUAUAGGGACGACUUGAUCAAGUGUCAGGAUUGUUGAUGCUCACCAAGCGGACGUCAUCUAACCACACUAACCUAGUGUUAUCCCAGGUUGAAAUUUUGUUCUGUUGUGGAUGGUGCUAAGUGCCGGUGGGCUCGGCCUUCUUAUAUAAGUAUAUCCCAUCUUUAGCUUCUUUAUUGAGGAUUGUCACUUAAGCUAGCAUGUAUUUGAAAACCUAUAAAUAUUUUAUACAUUUUAAAUUGUAAUUUUUUUUGAAUCACUUUCUUUUGUAAUCACUCCGAUGAUAUAUAUUGUAAUCUUGUUAUAACUUGUAAAUGUUGUAACUUGUAACCAUUUUGUAAUAAAGAAUUUCCGCUGC